rnacentral:rRNA from 1 species
UACGUAGGGGGCAAGCGUUGUCCGGAAUCAUUGGGCGUAAAGAGCGUGUAGGCGGCCCGGUAAGUCCGCUGUGAAAGUCCAGGGCUCAACCCUGGGAUGCCGGUGGAUACUGUCGGGCUCGAGUCCGGAAGAGGAGUGUGGAAUUCCUGGUGUGAGCGGUGAAAUGCGCAGAUAUCAGGAGGAACACCAAUAGGCGAAGGCAGCACUCUGGGACGUGACUGACGCUGAGACGCGAAAGCGUGGGGAGCAAACAGG